rnacentral:rRNA from 1 species
GACGAACGCUGGCGGCGUGCUUAACACAUGCAAGUCGAACGGAAAGGCCCUGCUUUUGUGGGGUGCUCGAGUGGCGAACGGGUGAGUAACACGUGAGUAACCUGCCCUUGACUUUGGGAUAACUUCAGGAAACUGGGGCUAAUACCGGAUAGGAGCUCCUGCUGCAUGGUGGGGGUUGGAAAGUUUCGGCGGUUGGGGAUGGACUCGCGGCUUAUCAGCUUGUUGGUGGGUAGUGGCUUACCAAGGCUUUGACGGGUAGCCGGCCUGAGAGGGUGACCGGCCACAUUGGGACUGAGAUACGGCCCAGACUCCUGCGGGAGGCAGCAGUGGGGAAUAUUGCACAAUGGGCGGAAGCCUGAUGCAGCAACGCCGCGUGCGGGAUGACGGCCUUCGGGUUGUAAACCGCUUUCGCCUGUGACGAAGCGUGAGUGACGGUAAUGGGUAAAGAAGCACCGGCUAACUACGUG